UCCCUGGUGGAAUAGUGGCUAGUAUGUGGUGCUUUCAUCACCGCAGUCUGGGUUCAAUUCCCAGUCAGGAAC